CCUCUCAUGGCGUAGUGGUAACGCGCCCCAACUAGAGAUCGGGGAGUCGGGAGUUCGAUUCUCACUGAGAAGA
rfam:Aedes aegypti strain Liverpool supercont1.98 genomic scaffold, whole genome shotgun sequence.